GACGAACGCUGGCGGCGUGCUUAACACAUGCAAGUCGAACGCUGAAGGCCCAGCUUGCUGGGUUGGAUGAGUGGCGAACGGGUGAGUAACACGUGAGUAACCUGCCCCCUUCUUUGGGAUAACGGUCGGAAACGGCUGCUAAUACCGGGUAUUCACUGUCCUUCGCAUGGGGGGUGGUGGAAAGGUUUUUUCUGGUGGGGGAUGGGCUCGCGGCCUAUCAGCUUGUUGGUGGGGUGAUGGCUUACCAAGGCUUUGACGGGUAACCGGCCUGAGAGGGUGACCUGUCACAUUGGGACUGAGAUACGGCCCAGACUCCUACGGGAGGCAGCAGUGGGGAAUAUUGCACAAUGGGCGAAAGCCUGAGGCAGCGACGCCGCGUGAGGGAUGACGGCCUUCGGGUUGUAAACCUCUUUCGCUCAUGGUCAAGCCGCAACUUGGGUUGUGGUGAGGGUAGUGGGUAAAGAAGCACCGGCUAACUACGUGCCAGCAGCCGCGGUAA
rnacentral:rRNA from 1 species